rnacentral:misc_RNA from 1 species
AAGUCGUAACAAGGUUUCCGUAGGUGAACCUGCGGAAGGAUCAUUAACAUGUAUCCAACGUUAAAACAGCUUAGCCCGUGAAAACAGCAAUCCCUGGUAAAUCAUUGUUGACCAGCUUUUGAGUCAGGGACCUCUGCCGAUUGUGAUAUUUUCUAGCUACGGUUGAGCGAUUGCAUCUAGUGACCUGCAUCCCCAAGUAAUCAGUGUCUGAAAAUGUGAUUAUGUAAGGAUGGCGCAGUCACGAUCGCUGUCCGGCGACCGGGUCACCGGUCUGCCCCUUUACGUACGAAUUGGCCGCGCGUGAAAUUCGCACGGCACCAAAAACCGAACAACUGUUAACAAUGGAUAUCUUGGUUCUC